UUAACUUAUAGUACUUUUCCAAGCAUUGCAUAAAAAUAAGUAUACCUGGAAAUGUAUACGUACUUAUUCAGCUACCGAAGAGAAACAUAAAGUCCAUAAAGCAACAGUUUGUUUGUUCUUUUACACAUUCAGGUUGAAUGUGUUAGUGAUGGUGUGAUUUUUUUUCGGGAGUAAAUAGGUAGCGUCACUUUCGAACUGUAGCUGUAUUCUGAGGCUUGCAUCACGGAGCUGCAUGUGUAGGCAUGCAGAUGUGGGUACAUGGCGAUUCAUUAGCGCAAGCCGGCAGGGGAGAUUUCACACUGUCGCUCACUCACAGUGCGACUACGAAGGAAAGUGGAUGUCUAGUUUUUGUCGCCCUGUGUGGCUGGUGUUCUAUUGUGAAGAUUUAUUUUAACACAAAGCGAAAGCAAUAAAUUUGUGAUAAAUGUUCUUGAUACAGUGUUGUACAAAGUAAAUACUGUGAUUAUGGUUUAGUCGCUGAGAAUAAGGAUAAAUUUUCAACUGCAUAAAAUGGCUGCCAUAAGUGCAAUCGCUGCUGCAGCUGGGGGUCUUUUUCGGCAGGUCAUCAAGCACUUAAACGCUUGCUCUGCUUUCCAACCAUUCACAAAGAAAGGUUAGUAAUAGAUGAAAAUGACGAAGGUUGUAAGCAAAGAGAAAGGAAAAGAUCUACAGCAUGCAUACUAGGAAUAGGCAAAUUUAAGUUCAACGUUGAUUUUAAACUGCCAGAAUUAAUGGAGGAGUCGUUUGAAUGUUUAACUUAUGUGUGCGGACUCUAAUCGAAACAAGAUGUUGAGACCGGGAUGCGGGGAAGGAUUUGACCUUCCAGUAAGUUGUGCAGCAGUGUCUGAUAAAUCUCAAGCAGGGCACCGUCAUGAUGGAAAAUCGGUAAGCUCCGUUGCCGAGCCUAAGAAAAAGGUCCACAGCAUGCAUGCCAGGAAAAAGUAAAUAUCCUACGGAAAAAGCGUUCCACAGAUGGUUGCCAUAUGCAACGCACAAAUAAACUUGAGGAAGAAUAACUACACUGUCGACAUGCAGACGAGUUUUAUUGCGAUGGCUGAAAAAGCACUUAUCAUAAUGGUUAAAACUAAUGCGGUACCAGGGUGGGACAUAGAACCGGUUUUUGUAGAGUAAGCCGAAAUGAAAUCCUACAAGGAGUGAUUAAAUCGAAUAUCAUGUAACUUUUCAUCUUUACGCUGGAAACCUGUAACCUGUGACGUUUGGUGCGAACCCGUUGGUGGUCUCAACAAACAAGUAACUAGUUUUUAAGAUAGUUCGUAAGAUUCUUAACAGUAAUCACAAGCCGAGUUCAAUGUAAACAUAGUUUAUAAGUGCUCAUCACGUGGAAUAGCGUUUGGUAUUUUUGUUACGAUGCGCCUUAAAAGUGUCAUCCAACAUUAUUGUGGAGCAAACUUUACAGUGUAGAACCCAUCUUUGGAAGUUUUUCUUACGAUUAUUUGGCGUUUUCAAGCGAUUUCAAAUGUGGGCGUAAUCAGUGACAGUAUUUUUUGUCUGAAUGAUAUAUUGAGGAUGUUUUUCCGUUUACAAUAACUAGUUUGCUACAGUUAUUGAAUAAUGCCCCUGGACCUUUAAUCAGUGAAAAUUACUGAAGGUUAUCUGAAUACUUUUGGAUUCAUCAUCUUUUAAAAUAUUUUACUUUCAACGAGUUAUAUUGGAACUUUGUUACCAUGAUAAUGUAGUAUUCAACACUUGACCAUAUCGCACCUUUUUUCGCUGUCUAGUCUUCUGAAUGUUUAUUUAUUCAUCAUUCCUAAACAAAUGAACAAAGAAAAUUGAAUUUGCCCACCCCAAUCUAUUUCAUUUGUAAAUUGUACGGAAAUAUUUCGGCUGUAAAACAAUGCGUUGUAUCGUCGGGUUUGGAUAUUAGGUUUCUCGGUUUUGUUUACCUUAGAUUUGUCCGUUUGAACAUGGUUCAGACUCAAGAUAAACUUUGCAAUUGCAAAAAAGAAAACAGUUCUAGUCCCUACUUCCUUCUUGCCUAAAUCAAUAUUUGAAUGAGUUCGGACUGUUAAGACUACUAAACUAACCGACUGCACCAUUCUUGCCUGCAGUGUGUUCUUGCAGAAUGGUGUA